ACUGGAACAAUAGGGGGUUGUUAGUGUUUUGAUUCUAAAAUGAUGCGGGUUAAUGGUGAGUACAUUUCAAAAACCCAAUCAGUGCAGAUUGGGUUUCGGCGGUGUAUCGGCGCUAAUACCCUGAUUACAUUACACCUUCCGAGUUGAGUGGAGAGACAGUAUAAGCAAGGAUAAAUUAUUCCGCGUAGCAAUGUAAUACAAAUUUAUAAUCGCGGUUUAAAGAAGGAAAGGAAUCUGGACAUCUUGUCUGAAAAAUAUAGGUUUUGGUCCAUCUGACCGGAAUCGCCAGCAGCAUUCCGUAUGACGUCUUAGUAAUACCUAGUAUUGUUCGUAAAAGGUAAACAAUAACAUUGAGAAUUAGGUAAGGGGUAUAGGGGUGACUAUGCAAUGUAAAUAUAAUUAUGUCGUCUAUCAUGCGACUGGACAAAUUAAAUUAAGUUACAAAAACUGAGGAAACGGAUGACUAUUUAUAUUGAAAAUAGCUUUUCCUUGAUAAUAAAUCCUUCAGUAACCAGAAAAUGAAUUGUAUUUUUU